rnacentral:rRNA from 1 species
AUGUGCUUCACUCACCGGUUAAUAUUUGUGUUUCAGACAUCUGGCAGGGCUGCUAAUCUUCUUAAAGACGUAUUCCAGAAUUCCUAUGACGAGGCAUUAAACUGUCUCAAUACCAAUUACUAUGGAUGCAAAUGGGUAACAGAGGCUCUUCUGCCACUUUUGAAGCUAUCUACAUCAGGUGCAAGGAUUGUUAAUGCCUCCUCCCUUGCAUUGGAGCUGAAGAGAAUGCCAAACGAGAAGCUUCGAAAUGAUUUGUGCGACAUCAACCUCUAGGAUGAGGACCGAAUAGAAGCAGUGUUGAACACAUUCUUGGAGGACCUGAAGAACGGGCGGCUUGAACAGGCCGGGUGGCCCAUCAUGCUGCCAACAUACAGUGUAUCGAAAAUGAUCAUCAAUCUGUACACCAGGGUCAUGGCAACGAGGUAUCCAGAGAUGCGCAUCAAUUGCGUUAGACCUGGCUUUGUCAAGACUGACAUCUGCUGGAAUCUAGGGCUAUUGACUCCUGAACAAGGUGCAAGAGGGCCAGUCAUGCUAGCUCUUCUCCCUGACGAUGGACCAACUGGGUGCUAUUUUGAUCAGACAGAAAUGGUGAACUUUUGGUGA